UCAAGCUGGGGAAAAAAAAAAAAAGGCGGGUUUAUCUUAUUUCCUGUAUUUUUAUUGUCAAACUGUGUCAGAACACAUUGUUUGGGGCCAGGAACAGAAAACAUUUUAGUUUUAAGGAAACAAAUCACUAGAUAACAAUUUUCUAAAUACUAGUUAUUUACUCAUUUAAAAUUUGUGGAGUAAUUUUUAUAUACCAAGUGUUAGGACUACAUAGAAGAAACAACACAAGGUUCCUUUUCACUUGAGGAAUUUACUAUUUGUCAUACUCUUCUUGUUCCCACAAGUUUUACUACUGUUUUUCAAAUUCUUAAUGAUCUCUUCACUCUUGAUUAAUUUCCUUUCCUAGAUAUCCAAUAGUUUUAGAAAAUGGAUAAAAAGGGAGAGAAGGUAAACCACUUACUGAGGUGUACCUAGGUACCAUGUCAGUGCAUUAUAUAUGUUAUUUCCUAACAAUCUUUAGGGUAGAUAUCAUUGCCUACAUGCAUAUUUUAUUUAAGAUGAAGAUACUGGGGCUCCCAAAGCUCCCAAAAUGUGUCCACAUUCAGACAACUUGGAUGUAGUACUUUUGGGGCCAUGUUUUUUCCACUGGAAUUAUUAAGUAAAACUUGUCCCACAUUUCCUUAGGGCUGUUUCUUUAACUGAAACAAAUCAGGGAUAAUAAAAAGAAGUUCGCUCUAUUAACUAACUCCUAAUUCCUACUUGGGACCUGUCACUCCCUUUGAUUUCUAAAUGGAGUUUCAUCAUUAUUUUCUCUGUAGGAAUUCUGGUAAACCAUAGUAUUUCCAGGUUUGCCAAAGAGGUCAGAGUCCAUGGUCAAUAAAUCUUUGAGACCACAUAAAGAUACUUUGGUAUGUUUCUUCUGGCACUUAAAUAACAUUUCAUAUUAUGUAAAUACUAGUCUUGUUCUUUCCACUGGACUUUGGACUUUUUUUCUCUAGUAUUUCUUUUUUGUUUGUUUUUUCAGACUUGAUCUCUCUAUGUUGCCCAGGCUGGCUUAGAACUUAGAACUCAGAUCCUUCUGCCUUAUCAUCCUGGCUUUCUGCUGUUUCUCAAAGGGCCCAUGAUAAUUCCUUGCAGCAAGCACCAAACCAUCUACUAACAUGUUUUUUGGGCACACUAUUACACUAGUGCCUAGAACCCGAGGGCCCAGGACCUCUACCCUCUGCCUGACCUGGUCCGGAAGCGCUGUCCCCGCCUCCCGCAUAGCGGCCACUCGUCGGUGCAGCGCGGCCGACUGAUCCACCAGAGACUCGGCGGCCGCAUCGUGCUCCCGCAGCCUCUCCAGCAGUGUCUUGGCGUCUGUCAGGAUCUUCUCGAUGGUGCAGUUCAUAGCGGUGCUGGGAAUCUAACCCAUACAUGCUAGGCAAGUGCUCUACCACUUGGCUACAUCUUCCAGCCCAGUCAACCCUUCUUAAGUGUACAUAUAGUUCGGUAAUUAGGUGUAUUCAAAUUGUGCAACCAUCAUCAACAGUCAUCUCCUGAACGCGUCCAUCUUGCAAAAUUGGAACUCUAUAGCUAUUAAGCAAUUCUCUUUCUCCUCUCUAAGAUCCUGUCAAUUACUAUUCUACUUUCUGUUUGUGUAAAUCUAACUAGUCAUAAGUACCUCAGGUAAGUGGAAUUGUUGUGGUGUAAACUAAUAAAUAAAAUCAGUAAGAGUAUAAGUUAUAGGUUAUAGAUUAGUAAAAAAAUAUAGAUUAUAGAUAUGAUAAGUAAGGUAAGACCAUUAUAAAGCAAGAACCGUCAUAGACAGGCUUAAGACUCCAUUUUGUUGCCUUCUAUAAAAAUCUGUUUCUAUGAAACCUGUUUUCUUAUAACAAAUUGUAUCGCACUCAGGAUGCAGCGGUGGUAUGGUGAACUACAUCCUGGGUUUGAGUGCACGUGUGGGUCUACAUGACUUUGAAAUAGAUUCUAGCCCCUGCCAACCCCUGCUCAAACUCAGUCUAGCAUCUGCUUGAACCCAGGAAUUGCAAAGCUAAUUGCUUUUCUCUAGCUUCUGUACUUGCUUGCUUGCUAACUGGAAAAUUAGCCACUGAGUUGUGGUUUUUGUCCAUAAAUUCUCAAAAAAAUGGACCAGGAAGCUUCUGUUCUACAGAGCUUCAGUCUCUUUGGGUGGGUGACUGUCCCUGGCCAGGUAAAUAAAGCUCUCAUUGAUUUGAAUUUAGACUUAAGAGUGUUUUCUGAAGCAGCUUCCCAUAACAGAACCAUACAGUAUUUGUGUUUUGGGGACUGACAUUUACCUUAGUAUAAUGUUCUCAAGGUUCAUCCAUAUUUUAGUAUGUGUCAGAAUUUCUUUCCUUUCUAAAGGCUAAUAAUAUUACAUUGUAUGUAUAUUUUACAUUUUGUUGAUCCUAUUGUUCCUCUGUGGACUCAGGUUGAUUUCACUUUUGGGUGGAAUAUAAAUAAUGUGCCUAUGAACAUGGGUGUUCAAGUAUCUCUUUCAGAUCUUGCUUUCAGUUUUUUGGGUAUAAAAUGGGUAGAAGUGGAAUUGCUGGGUCAUAUGGUAAUUCUAUUUAAAUUUUUUGAGGAACCAUGAUAUUGUUUUCCAUAGCAAUUGUACCACUGUACAUUUCCACCAACAGUGCAUAAGUCUUCUGAUUUCUCCUCAUCAACACUUCUUAUUUUUUUAUUUUGCAUUUGAUAGUAGUCAUCUUAAAUGAGGUGAGGUGGAGUCAACAUUAUUUUCUGCUUGCUUCUUGUUUUUUGGUUUCAUUAAGAAGUUGAAAAUAAAUCUAACUAGAACAGUA